rnacentral:lncRNA from 1 species
GUGUGGGGAACUGGAGGAAACCCAGGCUCUUGUUCAGCCUAAGUUGCACAUGCUCCUACGGUGGCCCCGGUGGACGAGUGUUGCAAGCACAGCAGCAUUUGAGCUGAAACAAAUAAGUAAAACGUCGAUUUAAUGAGGAUUCAAGCUAUGUAGCCCCAGAGGAAGGAAGUGGGACUUUUAAAAUAAAGAACGUCAUCUAUCCUCUGCCACAGACCGGAAUGCCGUGGUGUCUCAGCACCAGCCCAAGCACUUUGGAGAGCUUGUUGAAUCCGAUCCUGAACAGUAGGAGGCAUUUUAUCAUCCUUUCUGCUUCACUUUUCCCAAGUGAAAAAACAAACAUAAAGUCAUCAUCUUGCUUGGAAAGUGAGUAUUGCUGCAUCAUGUUUAUUUAUUUUUAAUUUUUAUUUAUUUUACUUUACGUUCUGGGUUACGUGUGGAGAAUGUGCAGGUUUGUUACAUAGGUAUACAUGUGUCAUGGUGGUUUGCUGCACCUAUCAACCCAUCAUCUAGGUUUUAAGCCCCGCAUGCAUUAAGU